GGCCCCGUAGCUCAAUUUGGCAGAGCAGUUGACUCUUAAUCAAUUGGUUGCAGGUUCGAGUCCUGCCGGGGUCACCA
rnacentral:tRNA from 1 species